AGUCAUCAACCCCUCCCGUUUCGUGCGGAGAGGUGAGUUGGAGCUGGGGGCUUGCGGCCGAGAGGUUGCUCCCCUCAAAUGCUUCGGUUGGGCCUGUGGGUCGAACUCGGUUGGGCGUUGUAACAACCUCGCUCUCGUCUGAGAAGUUCCCCUGUCAUCGUGCCCCUCCACGACCGUCCGUCUGUGCGGCGGUCAAAACAAACUUUGAA
rnacentral:misc_RNA from 1 species